rnacentral:lncRNA from 1 species
AUCCCUCAAAAGGUUUUCGGCUUAAUUCGAUUUCGUUAGGGUGGUUUGUAUAAUUGAAAGUUUUAGGGAUUUAUGGUUGUUUGUGUUCGAUUGACAUGGUUAGGCUUAGAAUUGGAGUUUGUGUUGGUCAUGAAAGUUGUAGAGGAGAUUGAGAGGAAGAUUCUGUUAAAAUUUGGUGGCAUUUGCAGGUUGCCGGAGUUGGUCGCCGGCCGCCGCUGCCGGCGGAGCCGCCGGCGGCGCCGCCGCUGUUUUGGGAAAUUUUAUGGUUUUUGAUGUAGAAUAUUAAGGGGAUAUUAUUGAAGUGUAAUAUGAAAUUUUAGAGUUAGGGUUGUCCAUCUACAAGGGAGAUUUUCUUAAUCUUUUCAGUAAAUUUUCCUUGGAGGUGGUCCCCGCACGACUUAUUCUGGGUUUCAGGGUGAAAUUCGGGGUGGGUCGUGUCAUAUAAUCCCCUCAAGACGAGUCUAGAUGAGUAUGUAAAACCUCUUAAAAGGUGGAUUAGGAUAAGGAAGAAUCCCUCAACGGAAGUCUGUGCUGAGUCGAUAUCUUCUCGAACGAAUAUGAGUUAGCGGUAACCCCUUUUAAGGGGAUUCUAGGUGAAAACAAUUUCUUGAUGAAUAAGUCUUGAUAAUAAGAAUCCUCUCGAGGCAAUAUCGAGAUUCACCUGAAUCAUUUGUUGGAGCGAGGUGUUUUCAACGUUUGGUAGGAGCGUGGUGCAUUCGUGGAAGUAUUUUGACCCUAACGUACCACAGUGGUGUGUGGUCGAGUAUGCAUUUGUUAACAUCGACUACUUAAAAGUUAAGCUUUAACGUCAAUAGUUCAUUAUUAUUAUUUUUUUACACUAUUCUUUGUCAAUGAACAUGGGUCGUAUGACUCGUAUCAAUAUAAUAUGAGCUUGUUAUCUAAAAAACAAAUUGUGAAAUUGUAAAACAGGAGUAACUCAAACCGGGAUCCGGCUCCUCUAAAGUGAGCUAGUUAUAAAGUUAAUAAAUUUCAUAAAAUCUAAACCUUUGAAACAAUUUAAUGGUUCAGAUUACGCCACAUUAUCUAAUACAAACUUUAAUGAUUAUUCUAUUACUUUUCCUUCCAAACAAACAAAAAAAAUCAAACUUCCGUUUAACAAAAAAAGUUAAUUAACUUUGAUAAUUGAUCAAUGACGAAAUCCUAUGACUACAUGUAGAACAGAGAAGGCAAAAUGUCCAUCGUGAUCCAUGAAACUCAAAUAGCUAUUGGUCAUGGCUAUUAGAUGAGCUACGUACUAAUGGGAAUAAUGAAAUAAGAGUACUUGAGAGUCUAUUUCGUAAUUCAAACCGAUAUGAAUC